CGUGUGCAGUGCGUGGGAUGGGAGCGCCGGCAAGGCGGCCUCGCCCUCUCGGGCCCCUGCCACCGCGACGCACCCCGGGUCUCAUCCUCUGUGCCACCUCGGCCGGGAUCGAAGGACCCUGACCUACUCGCCGGGUAGGACAACGCAGGAACCUGACGGCCACGCCCCCCGAGCCACUCCCAAGAGGUGGUCGUGCCUGUGGGACUCUUUCUCCUGCCUCCAAGUGGAGCAGCCAGCCAGCCCCCUGGUUGCUCCGUGAGCCGUACCCACUGCCAGGACCUGGCGCCCCUGCACACACAGCACAUCAUGCAAGGCAACCAGGGGGAUGCAAAGGAGCAGGACACAGAGGAGGCAAAGGUAUGUGAUCUUCCUAAAUGAGCAGAGAAGUCAGCUGAGGGCCAAGCACCCGGAACUGCCUUUUACAGAAAUCACAACAACUGUGGCUGCUCAGUGGGCUCAGCUGUCUCAAGAGAAAAAGCAAGAACUCCAAGAGCAGCUGAGUGUGGGAGAGCGUGGCGCAGGCUGGGGGCAUCAGAGAAAAGCUCUCCAGGAGGUGGAUGUUCUGUGAUGGGGGGAUGACAGCAAUGACCUGUACUAUCCGACCUGCAGGCAGUUCUUCAGUUCUCUGCAUAACAAGAAGGAACACCUGCUGGGAAAGCAGCACCUGCAGAACCUCACAGGGGAAUUUGAAAAGGAUUCCACCGAGUACUGGAAGCAUCUGGAACCUCUGGAGGGCGAGGAGGGUCAGAAUUUGAGCAAAGGGCACUCAGAAGAGGAUACCAAGGGCCCUGGUGGGCUUCCACCUGGAGGCCUGAUUCCAGAGAAGAGUUUCGCUUCAUUCAACUUGGGUUUCUUGCAAGAGUUUAUCUUUAAACUUCAGAAAAGCAAAGUCUUCCCACUUGCCCUUUUAAUUCAGCUGGAGAGACUCUAAUCCCUGGGCCCUCAGCGAAGGAGGAAACCGGGGCCCCGAUUCCAGCGGUGGCCUGUCUAGAUGGCACAGGUUCCUGCUCUGGCCCCGGGCCUUUGAGGACUGUGAGGAGGAGGAGCCUGGCGGGGAGGCUGAGGGCCUGAGCUUGAGCUCUGGCUCUGCAUGACGCGCACUGUGACCUCGGGCUGCACACUUGACUUCCUGGAGCUCCGUGCUGUAGCUGCUAAAAAUGGCUGCAAAUUCUUCAUCAGUCAUCACACUGAGUCUAGGCUGUGAUGACUUUGAACAAUAG